rnacentral:tRNA from 1 species
AAAAAAUUAGUUAAAAUAUAUAACAUUAGUAUGUCAAGCUAAAAUUAUCAAAAAUUGAUAUUUUUUA